rnacentral:rRNA from 1 species
CGGUGAAUACGUUCCCGGGCCUUGUACACACCGCCCGUCAAGCCACGGAAGUCUGGGGUACCUGAAGUCGGUGACCGUAACAGGAGCUGCCUAGGGUAAAACAGGUAACUAGGGCU